CCACAGCAGGGGCUCAGCAGCACCAGGGCCUCACUCUGGCUGCUUGUGUUUCUCCUGCAGGGACAGGCUCUGCAUGCUGGUCUUUUAUCCCUCCAGUGCCCCCUCUGCAGAAAUGAUGACACGUUUCUCAUGGAUAUGUUCACCAUGGGGAUCUGAAUGCCCUUGAGACCACCAUCAUGGGAGGGCUUUAAUGCAUUCGCCGAGCUAGAAGAGAGACACAGGCGCUGCGAUGCCAGUGAGUGCCUUUGUCCAGGAGGCAGGCAGGAGGCAGAGGAGGAGGGGCCCUGGCAACUGCUCCUGUGCUCCUCCUGUGCUGCUGAGGGCACCCACAGACACUGCUCUGGCCUGGGG